CAUGCUACAGCCAAUGUAUUUUAAGAACAGAACCAGAUCAAUUUGCUCUCUUGCUUAAAAAUCUUCAGGUUUCCUGUUGUACUUAAAAUAAAAUCCAAGUUGUAACCUCAGUUUAUAGAGUCCCACACAGCCUGCUCCUUCCCGGACUCUUCAGCUUCUGAUCCUGCCGCCCUCCCUCCUCACUGGUUUGCUUGCUCCUUCUCUCAAACCCAGGAUCGUAUCCUCCCCAGGACCUGCACUAACCAUUCCCGCUGCCCGGACUGCUCUUCCCUAGUCUUCACGUGGCUGGUAUAGACGAUCACUCAGGUCCAGGUGGAGGUCUCCUCCUCCAAGUGGUCAUCCAUUCUAAGCUUUCAGGUAGAUGACGAAGCGGGACCUCCUGCUGCUGGCGGGGAUCAGCCCAGGGCCCCGGACUGUGUACCAUCAGCUCUCGGCAGACCCGGCCUGGCCCGUCACCGCCUCCCGGCCAGGCCUGGAGAAAGGACAACACAGAUCAUGCCCCUCUCCUUUGGGGGACGAGGCUACAGAGGGGAAGCCUGUUGAGACUGGCUUUCCAAAGCCUUCAUGACAUGAAAGUGUAAAGAAAAAAAAAAAAAAAAAAAACACUGCUUCUA